AUUGAACGCUGGCGGCAGGCUUAACACAUGCAAGUCGAACGAUGACUAACUAGCUUGCUAGUUAUGAUUAGUGGCGGACGGGUGAGUAACAUUUAGGAAUCUGCCUAGUAGUGGGGGAUAGCUCGGGGAAACUCGAAUUAAUACCGCAUACGACCUACGGGUGAAAGGGGGCGCAAGCUCUUGCUAUUAGAUGAGCCUAAAUCAGAUUAGCUAGUUGGUGGGGUAAAGGCCUACCAAGGCGACGAUCUGUAACUGGUCUGAGAGGAUGAUCAGUCACACCGGAACUGAGACACGGUCCGGACUCCUACGGGAGGCAGCAGUGGGGAAUAUUGGACAAUGGGGGCAACCCUGAUCCAGCCAUGCCGCGUGUGUGAAGAAGGCCUUUUGGUUGUAAAGCACUUUAAGCAGGGAGGAGAGGCUAAUGGUUAAUACCCAUUAGAUUAGACGUUACCUGCAGAAUAAGCACCGGCUAACUCUGUGCCAGCAGCCGCGGUAAUACAGAGGGUGCGAGCGUUAAUCGGAAUUACUGGGCGUAAAGCGAGUGUAGGUGGCUCAUUAAGUCACAUGUGAAAUCCCCGGGCUUAACCUGGGAACUGCAUGUGAUACUGGUGGUGCUAGAAUAUGUGAGAGGGAAGUAGAAUUCCAGGUGUAGCGGUGAAAUGCGUAGAGAUCUGGAGGAAUACCGAUGGCGAAGGCAGCUUCCUGGCACAAUAUUGACACUGAGAUUCGAAAGCGUGGGUAGCAAACAGGAUUAGAUACCCUGGUAGUCCACGCCGUAAACGAUGUCUACUAGCCGUUGGGGUCCUUGAGACUUUAGUGGCGCAGUUAACGCGAUAAGUAGACCGCCUGGGGAGUACGGCCGCAAGGUUAAAACUCAAAUGAAUUGACGGGGGCCCGCACAAGCGGUGGAGCAUGUGGUUUAAUUCGAUGCAACGCGAAGAACCUUACCUGGUCUUGACAUAGUGAGAAUCCUGCAGAGAUGCGGGAGUGCCUUCGGGAAUUCACAUACAGGUGCUGCAUGGCUGUCGUCAGCUCGUGUCGUGAGAUGUUGGGUUAAGUCCCGCAACGAGCGCAACCCUUUUCCUUAUUUGCCAGCGGGUUAAGCCGGGAACUUUAAGGAUACUGCCAGUGACAAACUGGAGGAAGGCGGGGACGACGUCAAGUCAUCAUGGCCCUUACGACCAGGGCUACACACGUGCUACAAUGGUAGGUACAGAGGGUUGCUACACAGCGAUGUGAUGCUAAUCUCAAAAAGCCUAUCGUAGUCCGGAUUGGAGUCUGCAACUCGACUCCAUGAAGUCGGAAUCGCUAGUAAUCGCAGAUCAGAAUGCUGCGGUGAAUACGUUCCCGGGCCU
rnacentral:rRNA from 1 species